rnacentral:miRNA from 1 species
AGUCGCACUCGUCCCUGGCUCAGG